rnacentral:rRNA from 1 species
UCAGUUCGGAUCGGAGUCUGCAACCCGACUCCGUGAAGCUGGAUUCGCUAGUAAUCGCGCAUCAGCCAUGGCGCGGUGAAUACGUUCCCGGGCCUUGUACACACCGCCCGUCACACCAUGGGAGCCGGUAAUACCCGAAGUCAGUAGUCCAACCUCGUGAGGACGCUGCCGAAGGUAGGAUUGGCGACUGGGGUGAAGUCGUAACAAGGUACC